GCAGUACUUAGGAUGGUUAUGCUUCCACAGAGGAAAUGCCAGGAGAGGUGGCCCUGGAGCUAGAGGCCCUUAUGAGGUGCAGGAGGCACAGCGAGCAGAGCCCUGGGCACUGAGCAUUGUGUUCAGAGGAAACAGCUGCAUCCCAGCCAAGGCCGGAGUAACAGGUGUGUUCCCAACUGAGAAAACGGUGCAGUUUCAUCUUCUGAAUCCAAGAACGGAAGCACAAUGGGACCUGGGCAUCCAGUACUACUCACUCAGGAGCACAUAUGACCAGCCCCUCAGAGCCUCUGAGGGAGACAAUUGGAGCUAGGAGUGGACCCAGAAGCAGCCUGCUGGAGGAAGCUGCAAAUGUGAUCAUCAUGAGGCUGGAGAUGCUGAAGAUCGGUGAACAUUCCCAGUGACUCUGGCUCAAUCUGGGACCCUGGCCAGAGCUACUGGUCACCAACACUAUGCAGGGUUUGGGGCUUCAGUGCCUCCCAAGAUGGAUCUGCAGGUUCUUGACAGAAAUGGAGAGGCUGGGGUUCCAACAGGGCAAAGAGGAGACAAAACAGGUGGAGAGAGACGCCCGGGCCUGUCAACCACAAAGUAAAGAGGCUGGAACCGCACAGCUCCUGCCCGAGGGCCUUGGCAGGAUCUGUGUCCCCCACGGCCCACUGGGCAUGGACUCUGGGGAGGGGCAGAGGGGUUGGCCCCUCGCUCAGGCUCUGCUUCCCUGGCCUUCACCCACGUGAGCCACCUUCUGUUCGCCCUGGGACACUCCCUCUCACCACAGUGGUCUACUUUUGAGCCCACAUCAAGUAACUUGCGCAAAUAAAAGGAACAUUCUCAAGCUUGGGAAUUUAUUUCUGUGAAUACAGACUGAAGACUGUUAAGACACAUUCAGGCAUUGGAUGCAUCCGAUGAGAGAAAGAGAAUGUGUGUAAAUUACUGGAAAUGUGAUCCACUGACCACAGAAAUCAGGACGGAACCAGAACACCCACAUACGGCAGAGCUCCUGGGGAGACUGAGGUCCAGGGUGGGAGAG
rnacentral:lncRNA from 10 species